rnacentral:rRNA from 1 species
ACAUGCCUACAAAAUAACGUUAAUGCAUCAAAUCCCAUUAUAAAUCUGUAGUUAAGUGUGCUCAGGCUAGAGUAGUAUUGGGAUGGGUGACAACCCAGGAAGUCCUAGUGUUUUACAUGCC